AGCAGUCGCCGCGGUAAUACGGAGGGUGCAAGCGUUAAUCGGAAUUACUGGGCGUAAAGCGCACGCAGGCGGUCUGACAAGUCAGAUGUGAAAUCCCCGGGCUUAACCUGGGAACUGCAUUUGAAACUGUCAGGCUGGAGUCUUGUAGAGGGGGGUAGAAUUCCAGGUGUAGCGGUGAAAUGCGUAGAGAUCUGGAGGAAUACCGGUGGCGAAGGCGGCCCCCUGGACAAAGACUGACGCUCAGGUGCGAAAGCGUGGGAGCAAACAGGAUUAGAUACCCCAGUAGUCCCUGUCUCUUAUACA
rnacentral:rRNA from 1 species